GCCAAGUCCACUUGAAGCUGCCUGAUGCCACUCUUGUAGGGAAUGAUCUCAAACUCAGCCGUUGAGGUCUCCAUGGGGGCCAUUCUUGCCACACUAAAAGACAGGAUAUGUUGGUGGAUGUAAACUGCCAUGUCCACAGCUACCUCAACACUGGAUGGAGUGUUGUGUUCAGUAUAAAUGAAGCCCCAGUGAUGCACGUAAUUAUCCAGCUUCCUCAUUUUUUUCUUUUCCCCUCUCAGAGUUUCCUGGUAUUAACUCUUCCAAUCUAAAUACUUUGGAGAUUUUUCAAACGUGCUUUUAAACUAACAACUGUAGAGGCAAUGGGAGAAUAAUGCUUCUUAUCCUUCAAGGAUUAUUUGUUUUUCCUUUUGUAAACCACAGAAAAAGGAAAGUUUUGAAUUUUUUGCCAUUUACGUAACCCCAUCACUAACUACAGCACUCCAAGUUGCACACUGUCAUUAAAAGCAUGUUCUCUCUUCAUUCCCUGAGCAUUCUGUAAUUCAAAGUUUGGCAAUAGAGGGGCAGAAUAUUCCAGAAUAGAUAUGGAGAGUGCUGAAGUGAUGUUCUGUCCAGUCUUAGUUCAAACAGAAGUCAUGGGGGUUGACAGAAUCUUUAAAAAAAGUUCACUUGUAUUCUGGAUUUCCCACCAAAGUGAAUGUGUCUCUCACCAAACACCAUUUACAUACUUGAUGUUGAGUUGCUCUUUGAGCAGGCCGCUACCUUCUGCUUUCAGCACACAGUCUGUCACCACUUCAGACAGGGGGUUGGUAAAUGUGACCAGCACGUUAGUGGCUUUGUGUACCACUGUUGGACCAAGGACCUACAGAGAAAAAACAUUCUGCUGAGCUUCAGUAUUGGCAUCACUUCUUUUUCACAAUUUUCUCUUUCAAAUUCCACUGCAAACCACUUGUCUUCUCAGGAUAUCCUGAACAGCGAGGAGUAAGGAAUCAAUCUAUGUAUGUAUUUUUGGGCAUGAGAGUUCAAGCUUGAGUCAGCCAUCCGCUGUGUCUGAGGAGCAACGAACUACUGUAGAAUCAAUAAUUUCCAACAUUUUAACUGGGCAGGAAUACAGUGUUAUGUACCACAUAGUGCACAAUACUUAAAAGUGAGAAUAGAAUAAGAAUGCAAUUACUAUCUUGGCAUAUAUGGCCAACUGCUAUACAAUAUAGCUCAGGAGGCUUCUUACAGAACUUUGUUUUCCUUUGUGGGUGUGCAGAUCUAGUCUGAAGGCUGUGAAACACAGAAAUUCUAUCGCUCCUUGUGGGUUGCUUAUGGUACAGAAGGCACAGAGACACAGAAGGGACUGGCUUUUACCUCGAUGGUGAGAAGAGGAUCCUGAAGUACAAUAUCUUUCUCCACUAGAAGUGAUGCUCCCUGUCUGGCUUCACACACAGCAGUCACUAGGAUCUUCCUGUCAUCCAGCAGAGCAUUUUUGUACUGAGAGUAGGAGAUCUUGAAUGAGAUCUCUUUCACUGGAAUGCAAACAGAAGAAGAUAUUUUCGCUCUUUUAUUUUCUAAGUACUAUAAUCCUAAAGAUAACUAUUGGGUCUGUUCACUUUUGGAUGAUGACAGCCCAUAGAUGGAAAUGAUGCUCAGAGAUGACUUCUGCUUGUAUUCACAUUAAACACCAAGUGAUUGGGUAGCUGGGCAGAUCUGAGGAUGGAUUUCUGUAGCAGCCCCUACUGGUGGUUUUCUCAUGAAUCUGAAGCUGGGAAUUUCACAUUCUAUUCUCGCAGAGGAUGCAGAAGUGAAAAGAUGGCCUGAUUACGUGCCUGUGCUGAUGCAGCUGUUCAGCCUCUAUCUUAGAGAGGAUGCACAUUCUGUCUUAUUUGCCAAUGAGGAAAGCAGUGCACUUCUCAGUACAUUGAGAAAUAAUUCUCAUCCACUCUUGGCGUGACAGGAGUUAUUAUAUUGUGGAUUAGUUUGAAGGGGUAGUUGUAUUCACUUGUCCUAGGCUUUGUUAUUCAGCACUCCUCCUCUAACAGCAAGGCAAAAGGCCUUCAUACAAGCAGUGCAGUUCUUUCUUAAUGCAAUCUGCAGUUGCUUCCUGUUGCUACAAAAGUAUCCAUCCUGCCAGUGUCCAAAAUCAAACAUUUUAAACAGGACAAAUAUGUAUGUUUCUCUUCCACUGAAUAACUCUAACCUCAGACCAUUUACAGGCAGGGCACUUUUGAGACGUUCGUGAUGUCUAUAUGAUUUGUCCACAGACUAAAGCUACAUCUUGUUUUGAGCUGUAAUAAGAUUUAAAUUACCUUCUUCAGAUCCAAGUUGAAUAGACCUUGACCACUGCAAGAUCUCUGCCUUUGGUCUUCUUGUGUAGAGAACAGCUGAAGCUCUCAGUUUAACCUUUAUAGUCUUGAAAUCUGCAGUCAAAUUUUGCAGUGCCAAGGUGAGGAGGAUAUCCUGGCCUAUUACAGGAGAUGCAUCCAGCUUCAGCUUCCCUGAGACAGUGGGUUUUUGUCUGGUCACUGGCAUAUUUUGUCUCCCUGCUACUGGAAAUCGUCUCCUGGGUUUUGUAACUUUUUUUCUUCUUCCAGUGCUACUCACACCCAGCAGCUUCAGUGCCUUUUUGUACACCUGCCUUUCUUUGGAGGAUCCUGCUUUAAAAGAUAAAGUGGUCAGAGAUCUCGUAUGCACUGCAUAUAGGGCAAUUAAGCCAGAAUUGCUCUAAGUACAGUUUGUGAAGGCUGGGAAAGAUGCAUGAGAGGAGAAAUUGAGGCCUAGCCAAAAGCUAAUUUUGACCAAAAAAACCCCACUCCUAAAUGAAUAUACAUAGUCAUGAUGGCUGGAAAAUAAAAGUUGGCUUUUAGUUUCUAGCUGGUUAUUCAUGGGCACCUGCUAGAAGCUGUUAGCAUUAGCAAGAUGACUCCUAGAAGAGCUCAGUUCUCCUACGUAAGAUGGGGUAAAUGUCAUCUCCUCUAAAAAUAGAAAGAAUUUACCUUCAGGAUAUUUGUAAUUAUUAGUGACGUCCACUCGGGUGUUAGUGCCCACUGCUUUGGUGCUAAUAAAUUUUCCAAUCUUCCUGGUAUUGGAGUAAAUUCUCUCUGUUCUUUUCUUGCUAUGCUGAAUCCAAGUAACACAGUCAGCAUUCACUGCUGCGAAAACAAAUGAGCUGUCAUAAUCCAGGUUCACAUCUCCUUCCUUAAUGGCUCUGGUGGAAGCUGGGCCACACCGGUAGAUGCCUGUGUGAGAGAAAGAGAAGUUAAGUGAUUAUCUCUUGCAAAAGAUCAGGUGCGGGCCACAAAUCCUCCUGCUGACAGCUAAAGGGACAGGUAGUCACUCCAAAGACAUGUUUUGAUGAACUCCAUUGUUUCUGGGUCUUUACAUUAUGGUAACAGCAUGUCCAGAAAUUCAACAUACAUUUUUUAUCAGAAAGCACAAACAAGGAGGUUGUAAGGCUGAAGUGAUGUAAGUAACGCUUUCUGUGCUGUGAGAAUUGUUCAAAUCCUCCAAAGCCUGUGAGGCUUGUAUGCUGACCUGUCAAAUGAGAGAAGAGAAUGGCAGUUCUCAGCACAGACUGCUCAGAUGUGAGUCAUCGGUGCUGUAUGUGCAGCACUGAUGGACCAGGAGCUUUACUUUGGUUAACUGGGGAGUUUAUCUGGAGCUUGGUAGAUUUGGAAUAGUUGAGUAAAUGAUUCUUUUGGUGGGGCUCAUGAUAUGAGUUUGUGUCUGCAUUAAUAAGAAGAAGCAAAGCAGAAGUCUGAUUCCAAGGGCUGACCAGCGAUUGUCAACAGUUUGCUUUCUAGCAAGCUUCUCAAUGUUUUGGUUUGGGUGCUGUUGCUGAUGAUUUUCUCCCCUUGCCAAUGCUCUCAGUGGGUUGAGCUUGUUUUGUUUUGUUUCUUUUAUUUUGCCUGGGAGGAAGUGUUCAGUGCUGUGAACAAAUACUGUUCUCUAUCACUUGGUUUCAGAACCAGAGAGCAGAUUGUGGCUCCUUUCAUAUAAUUUUGUUUCUAUAUGCUGUGUUUUUCAAGAUACCAUAUGAAAUAUCUUUCUACUUGUUCCAAAAUGUCCUGUAAAAUAUAGGCUAUAGUCAUAUAUAUAUAUAUAUAUAUAUAUAUCAUAUAUAUAUAUAUGUGUGUGUUAAGUUUUCUGUUCAACCCUAUUACUGUAAGCUCUGAAAUCUAUGCUUACCAACUUACUGAAUGGGGUUUUAAUUUGUUUUGUUUCUAUAUCUGUCUAAUGCAAGCCAGCAACAGUGUGUAAUGCUAGCAGCAUGAAUUUCCAACAAGGAAGGCCAACAGCAUCCAGAGUCACAUUAGAAAAAGCAUUGCCAGCAGGUCAAGGAAGAUGAUCUUGCCCCUCUACUAGAGAGACCAGUUCUGGAGUGCUGUGUCCAGUUCUGAGUUCCCUCUUACAAGACAGACAUGGAAAUAAGUUGGUUUUUUUUUUAAGUUUACAACAGCAUUACCUUUGCUUUUUUCCUGGGGUGUUGCAUCCAAAACCUGCCAUCCAUCAUAAAAAGAUCCAAGAUCUUUUCUUGUAAACCAGCUUUCAUUCCAGACAUGGAAAUUCCUUAGAAGGAAGUAGGGAAAAUAAGAAAUCUUUGAUUAAUGCAAUCAAUUUUAUGUAGAGAGAGAUGAUAAAUUCGUGGUGCAGUGCAAGAACAAACCCUGCUGGAGUGUAUAACUCCUCUGCAUAGAGACAAGUAGUUUGCUCCCUUCUGGAGUGCCUGUAUUCAGGCAUUUCUGUAUUCAGACCUCUCAGAAAUACUGGGGUGUUACAAAGGGAUGUUAAAAAAUGUUUAUUUAUUGCAGAACCAAGUAUUCAGCUCUGGGGAAAAAAAAACUUGUCAUAUAGUAGAAACAAAAUUAGAGGUUGUGUCCUCCAACUGUGUGUUGAGCGGCAAGUGUGCCAAAAGUCUUCUCUGCUGGUUCUUCAGAAUGUUGAAACUGACUGUGUCCUGUAUUUCUGAACACAGUGUACUGUUGAUUCUUUGCUAUGGAAUGUUAUAUUUUUGGGAACAUUAGGUUGGGAUGGGUUUUCAGAAGAGUAAUUCUAGAUCUUCCGACUAGAGGAGGAUAUAGUGGAAGAAAUAUUAGGAUAAAAAUCACACUUACCAUA